rnacentral:rRNA from 1 species
CCUGCCAGUAAUCAUAUGCUUGUCUUAAAGAUUAAGCCAUGCAUGUCUAAGUAUAAGCAAUUAUAUAGCAAGACUGCGGAUGGCUCAUUAAAUCAGUUAUAAUUUCAUUGGUCUUUCCUUUUAUUUGGAUAACUGUAGUAAUUCUAGAGCUAAUACAUGCAAGCGCCGCUUCGGCGGCGGCAUUUGCGGGAUACGAAACUGGCCGGGAAACCGAAACAGUUGAGCCACUGCAACUUUAGUUUUACUAUUGCGGAUCGCAUGACUUUAUGUCGGCGACAGACCUUUCAAAUUUCUGCCCUAUCAGCUUUCGAUGAAGAUGUAGUGAAUCUUCAUGGCUACAACGGGUAACGGAGAACUAGGGUUCGGUUCCGGAGAGGGAGCCUGAGAGAUGGCUACCACUUCCAAGGAAGGCAGCAGGCGCGCAAAUUACCCAAUAGCGACACGCUGAGGUAGUGACAAUAAAUAACAAUACGGGUGUCACAUUGGCAUUCGUAAUUGGAAUGAGAACAAUUUAAAUCCCUUAACGAGGAACCAUUGGAGGACAAGUCUGGUGCCAGCACCCGCGGUAAUUCCAGCUCCAAUAGCGUAUAUUAAAGUUGUUGCAGUUAAAACGCUCGUAGUCGAAUCUCGAAGCCGGCCAAAUCGGUCCAUCCGGGAAGGAUGGUACUGUUUGCUCAGCUUCCAAUCUCGUCCCUCUCUGCUGUUCUUAACUGGAUGGCGGCUGGGGACGAGGAAUUUACUUUGAAAAAAUUAGAGUGUUCAAGGCAGGCGUUACCCGCCCUGAAUAGCGCAUCUUGGGAUAAUGGAAUAGGGCGGCAGCCCUAUUUCGUUGGUUUAAAGCGCUGUCGCAAUGAUUAAUAGAAAUAGUCGGGGCUAUUCAUAUUUAGUCGUCAGAGGUGAAAUUCUUGGAUUGACGAAAGAUGAACUGCAGCGAAAGCGUUUAGCAUGGACGUUUUCAUUGAUCAAGAACGAAAGUCGGGGGAUCGAAGACGAUCAGAUACCGUCGUAGUCUCGACUGUAAACUUUGCCGACCAAGGAUUGAACGAUG